rnacentral:rRNA from 1 species
GUAACACGUAUCCAACCUGCCGAUGACUCGGGGAUAGCCUUUCGAAAGAAAGAUUAAUACCCGAUGGCAUAGUUCUUCCGCAUGGUGGAACUAUUAAAGAAUUUCGGUCAUCGAUGGGGAUGCGUUCCAUUAGGUUGUUGGCGGGGUAACGGCCCACCAAGCCUUCGAUGGAUAGGGGUUCUGAGAGGAAGGUCCCCCACAUUGGAACUGAGACACGGUCCAAACUCCUACGGGAGGCAGCAUG